rnacentral:rRNA from 1 species
UGUCUGGAAACUGCCUGAUGGAGGGGAUAACUACUGGAAACGGUAGCUAAUACCGCAUAACGUCGCAAGACCAAGUGGGGGACCUUCGGGCCUCAUGCCAUCAGAUGUGCCCAGAUGGGAUUAGCUGGUAGGUGGGGUAACGUGCUCACCUAGGCGACGAUCCCUAGCUGGUCUGAGAGGAUGACCAGCCACACUGGAACUGAGACACGGUCCAAACUCCUACGGGAGGCAGCAGUGGGGAAUAUUGCACAAUGGGCGCAAGCCUGAUGCAGCCAUGCCGCGUGUGUGAAGAAGGCCUUCGGGUUGUAAAGCACUUUCAGCGGGGAGGAAGGCGGUGAGGUUAAUAACCUCAUCGAUUGACGUUACCCGCAGAAGAAGCACCGGCUAACUCCGUGCCAGCAGCCGCGGUAAUACGUAGGUGGCAAGCGUUAUCCGGAAUUAUUGGGCGUAAAGGGCUCGUAGGCGGUUCGUCGCGUCCGGUGUGAAAGUCCAUCGCUUAACGGUGGAUCCGCGCCGGGUAACUGGCAGGCUAGAGUCUUGUAGAGGCGGGGUAGAAUUCCAUGGUGUAGCGUGUUUUAAUGCGUAGAGAUCUGGAUUGGAGUACCCGGCUGGCGAAGCGACCUCCGGGCACAAAAGCCCAGGAUGCUGGAUGUGGGGCCCGUUCCACGGGUUCCGUGUCGGAGCUAACGCGUUAAGCAUCCCGCCUGGGGAGUACGGCCGCAAGGCUAAAACUCAAAGAAAUUGACGGGGGCCCGCACAAGCGGUGGAGCAUGUGGUUUAAUUCGAUGCAACGCGAAGAACCUUACCUGGUCUUGACAUCCACAGAACUUAGCAGAGAUGCUUUGGUGCCUUCGGGAACUGUGAGACAGGUGCUGCAUGGCUGUCGUCAGCUCGUGCCGGGAAAUGUUGGGUUAAGUCCCGCAACGAGCGCAACCCUUAUCCUUUGUUGCCAGCGGUUAGGCCGGGAACUCAAAGGAGACUGCCAGUGAUAAACUGGAGGAAGGUGGGGAUGACGUCAAGUCAUCAUGGCCCUUACGACCAGGGCUACACACGUGCUACAAUGGCAUAUACAAAGAGAAGCGACCUCGCGAGAGCAAGCGGACCUCAUAAAGUAUGUCGUAGUCCGGAUUGGAGUCUGCAACUCGACUCCAUGAAGUCGGAAUCGCUAGUAAUCGUAGAUCAGAAUGCUACGGUGAAUACGUUCCCGGGCCUUGUACACACCGCCCGUCA